rnacentral:rRNA from 1 species
UACCUGGUUGAUCCUGCCAGUAAUCAUAUGCUUGUCUCAAAGAUUAAGCCAUGCAUGUCUAAGUACAUGCCGAAAUAAGGCGAAACCGCGAAUGGCUCAUUAAAUCAGUUAUGGUUCCUUAGAUCGUUUCUUCCUACUUGGAUAACUGUGGCAAUUCUAGAGCUAAUACAUGCAGUGAGCCUGAAGCCCUUUGGGCGACGGGUGCUUUCAUUAGACCAAGAUCGAUCGGGUUUCGGCCCGUAUUGUGUGGUGACUCUGGAUAACUUUGUGCUGAUCGCAUGGCCAUGAGCCGGCGACGUUUCUUUCAAGUGUCUGCCUUAUCAACUUUCGAUGGUAGGUUACUUGCUUAUUAUGGUUGUUACGGGUAACGGAGAAUCAGGGUUCGAGUCCAGAGAGGGAGCCUGAGAAACGGCUACCACAUCCAAGGAAGGCAGCAGGCGCGCAAAUUACCCACUCCCGGCACGGGGAGGUAGUGACGAAAAAUAACAAUACGGGACUCUUUUGAGGCCCCGUAAUUGAAAUGAGUACGCUCUAAAUCCUUUAACGAGGAUCAAUUAGAGGGCAAGUCUGGUGCCAGCAGCCGCGGUAAUUCCAGCUCCAAUAGCGUAUACUAAAGCUGCUGCGGUUAAAAAGCUCGUAGUUGGAUCUCAGUUCCAGACGAGUAGUGCAUCUACCCUAUGCGACGGCUCGGACUGAACAUCAUGCCGGUCCUUUCUUGGUGCACUUCAUUGUGUGCCUCGAGAAGGCCGGUGCUUUUACUUUCAAAAAUUAGAGUGCUCAACGCAGGCGAGUCGCCUGAAUAAACUUGCAUGGAAUAAUAGAACAAGACCUCGUUUCUGUUCUGUUGGUUUUUGGAAUACAAGGUAAUGAUUAAGAGGGACAGACGGGGGCAUUCGUAUUGCGGCGCUAGAGGUGAAAUUCUUGGACCGUCGCCAGACGUACUGCGAAAGCAUUUGCCAAGAAUGUUUUCUUUGAUCAAGAACGAAAGUCAGAGGUUCAAAGGCGAUCAGAUACCGCCCUAGUUCGGACCAUAAACGAUGCCAACCAGCGAUCCGCCUGAGUUACUCAAAUGACUCGGCGGGCAGCUUCCGGGAAACCAAAGUGUUUGGGUUCCGGGGGAAGUAUGGUUGCAAAGCUGAAACCUAAAGGAAUUGACGGAAGGGCACCACCAGGAGUGGAGCCUGCGGCUUAAUUGACUCAACACGGGAAAACUUACCCGGGCCGGACACUGGGAGGAUUGACAGAUUGAGAGGUCUUUCUUGAUUCGGUGGAUGGUGGUGCAUGGCCGUUCUUAGUUGGUGGAGCGAUUUGUCUGGUUAAUUCCGAUAACGAACGAGACUCUAGCCUAUUAAAUAGGUGCGGGGUUCCCAGCACCUUACAACCUUCUUAGAGGGACAAGCGGCUCCUAGCCGCACGAAACAGAGCAAUAACAGGUCUGUGAUGCCCUUAGAUGUCCGGGGCCGCACGCGCGCUACACAGAAGGAAGCAGCGUGUCUGUAUCCCUGUCUGAAAAGGCUGGGUAACCCGUGGAACUUCUUUCGUGCUUGGGAUAGGGGCUUGCAAUUGUUCCCCUUGAACGAGGAAUUCCCAGUAAGCGCGAGUCAUAAGCUCGCGUUGAUUACGUCCCUGCCCUUUGUACACACCGCCCGUCGCUACUACCGAUUGAAUGAUUUAGUGAGGUCUUCGGACCGAUGUCCGGCGCGGCCUUUCGGUUGCGCCGGUCUGUUGGAAAGAUGACCAAACUUGAUCAUUUAGAGGAAGUAAAAGUCGUAACAAGGUUUCCGUAGGUGAACGUGCGGAAGGAUCAUUA